rnacentral:rRNA from 1 species
AGGGCGCACGGAGGAUGCCUAGGCUCUUUCAGGCGAAGAAGGACGUGACAAGCUGCGAUAAGCUUCGGGGACCAGCACAUAUGGCGUGAUCCGAAGAUUUCCGAAUGGGGCAACCCGGCUGGUUGAAGACCAGUCACUCUACGGAGGGCAAACCCGCUGAACUGAAACAUCUAAGUAAGCGGAGGAAGAGAAAACAAUAGUGAUUUCGUGAGUAGUGGCGAGCGAAAGCGAAAGAGCCCAAACCAUACUUGUUACGGCAAGUAUGGGGUUGUAGGACUGACAUAAUUGGUUAGGAGUGAAGUGGAACGAUUUGGGAAAGUCGAUCAGAGAGGGUGAGAAUCCCGUACACGUAAGCGAUUGACCAAGGACAGGAUCCUGAGUACCGCGAGGUCGGAGACGCCUUGUGGGAAACAGCCAGCACCAUCUGGCAAGGCUAAAUACUAGAAAGAGACCGAUAGUGAACAAGUACCGUGAGGGAAAGGUGAAAAGAACCCCGAACAGGGGAGUGAAAAGAACCUGAAACCGUGCGCUUACAAGCGGUCGGAGCAGACAAGUUCUGUGACGGCGUGCCUUUUGCAUAAUGAGCCUACGAGUUACUACUCACUGGCAAGGUUAAGGGUUUUAGUCCCGGAGCCGAAGCGAAAGCGAGUCUGAACAGGGCGUAUAGUCAGUGGGUGUAGACGCGAAACUUUGUGAUCUACCCAUGAUCAGGUUGAAGGGCCGGUAACACGGUCUGGAGGACCGAACCAGUAAACGUUGAAAAGUUUUUGGAUGAAUUGUGGGUAGGGGUGAAAGGCCAAUCAAACUGAGAAAUAGCUCGUACUCCCCGAAAUGUAUUGAGGUACAGCGUCGGCGUUGAGGUCAGUGGAGGUAGAGCUACCAAUAGGACUAGGGGGUGUCAGAGCCUACCGAAUCCUGAUGAACUCCGAAUGCCACUGGCUAUAGCCGGCAGUGAGGCCUGGGGUGCUAAGGUCCCCGGCCGAGAGGGAAAGAACCCAGACCAUCUGCUAAGGUCCCUAAAUCUAGAUUAAGUUGAACAAAGGAGGUCCACUUGCUUUGACAGCCAGGAGGUUGGCUUGGAAGCAGCCAUUCCUUUAAAGAGUGCGUAACAGCUCACUGGUCGAGCGAGCGGGCGUCGAUAAUACGCGGGCAUCAAAUCUAGUACCGAAGCAAUGGAUGUGAGAUGAAAGACUCUCACGUGGUAGGGGAGCAUUCUCCUUGCGGUGAAGGUGUCUCGUCAGGGAUGCUGGAGCGUGGAGAAAAGCAUAUGUAGGCAUGAGUAACGAUAAUGGGGGUGCGAAACCCCCACGCCGAUAGACCAAGGUUUCCAGCUCAACGCUAAUCGGAGCUGGGUUAGUCGGGACCUAAGGGGUAGCCGAAAGGUGAACUCGAUGGACAGCGGGUUAAUAUUCCCGUACCAAUGAUUGCAAGUGAUGCAGUGACGCAGAAGUGAAAGCACCGCGGGCGGACGGAAGUGCCCGUUGAAGGCCGUAGAUAGUGGGGAGGUAGUUAAGUACGCCACCCUAGUCGAAAGCUGAUAGUACCGUACGUUCUUCGGAACACGCGGAUAGUGUGCCUAAUCCGACUGCCAAGAAAACCUGCUAAGCGUUUUAAUGCAAUUAUUGCCCGUACCGCAAACCGACACAGGUAGUCAAGGAGAGUAUCCUGAGGCGCUCGAGUGAAUCACGGCCAAGGAACUCGGCAAAAUGGACCUGUAACUUCGGGAGAAGGGUCGCUUCCUCGUUGCAAGACGAGAAGCCGCAGUGAAAAGGCCCAGGCGACUGUUUAACAAAAACACAUGGCUUUGCUAACGCGCAAGCGGACGUAUAAGGCCUGACACCUGCCCGGUGCCGGAAGGUUAAGAGGGGAACUUAGUGCCGCAAGGUGCGAAGGUUUGAAUCGAAGCCCCGGUAAACGGCGGCCGUAACUAUAACGGUCCUAAGGUAGCGAAAUUCCUUGUCGGGUAAGUUCCGACCUGCACGAAUGGUGUAACGAUCUGGGCGCUGUCUCAGCCGUGAGCUCGGUGAAAUUGUAGUCUCGGUGAAGAUGCCGAGUACCCGCCACGGGACGGAAAGACCCCGUGCACCUUUACUAUAGGUUGCCAUUGGUGUUGGGUUCGGCAUGUGUAGCAUAGGCGGGAGGCGCUGAGCCGGGGACGCUAGUUCUCGGGGAGCCGACGUUGAAAUACCGCCCUUGCCGUGCCUGAUGCCUAAUCCCGGAAUACCGGGAGACAGUGGCUGCUGGGUAGUUUGACUGGGGUGGUCGCCUCCAAAAGAGUAUCGGAGGCUUUCAAAGGUCCACUCAGUACGCUUGGUAACCGUACGCAGAGCGCAAUAGCAGAAGUGGGCUUGACUGUGAGGCCGACUAGCCGAGCAGGGUCGAAAGACGGAUAUAGUGAUCCGGCGGUUCCGCAUGGAAGGGCCGUCGCUCAAAGGAUAAAAGGUACGCCGGGGAUAACAGGCUGAUCUCCCCCAAGAGCUCAUAUCGACGGGGAGGUUUGGCACCUCGAUGUCGGCUCGUCACAUCCUGGGGCUGGAGAAGGUCCCAAGGGUUCGGCUGUUCGCCGAUUAAAGUGGCACGCGAGCUGGGUUCAGAACGUCGUGAGACAGUUCGGUCCCUAUCUGUGGUGGGCGUUGGAAAUUUGACAGGACCUGUCCUUAGUACGAGAGGACCGGGAUGGACCAGCCGCUGGUGCGCCGGUUGUACCGCCAGGUGCAGCGCCGGGUAGCUACGCUGGGACGAGAUAAGCGCUGAAAGCAUCUAAGUGCGAAACUCACCUGGAGAUGAGAUUUCCCAAUUGAAGGCCCGUCGGAGAUGACGACGUUGAUAGGCGGCAGGUGAACAACUGGAAACAGAAUAGCUGAGCCGUACUAAGUGGCCGAGGGCUUCGCUC